AAGUCGUAACAAGGUAACCGUAGGUGAACCUGCGGUUGGAUCAUUGAUGAAAGUGGACACCGUGUAGACUAUGCGGGCCAUGAAAAAAUGUUGUUAAUGUCUGGACACUGUACAUUCCCAGUGCUAUUUGAGAAUGAUUUGGUAGAGAUUUUUGUGACAGAUUUCUCUCCGGCAAACCCUCAUAUCCCCAGGUUUAAAGGGGAUGAAGGACAGAGGUUGUAGCUUCAGAGCUAACUUUCCAGCUUUAAAGGAAGUAAAAGGGGAUGGCCGCGUUCUUGGCAUUAAAAGGAACCUUUGGUAAUGAAUAGGAAGUGCCCUAUCUCUGGCCUUGAAGGAGACAAUAUGUAAAUGUGUGCAAGAUAAUGUGUUGGGAUUUUUAAUAACCUUUGACAAUGAAUCUCUCAGCUCUUA
rnacentral:misc_RNA from 1 species